AUAGGGGAGCCGCAGGGAAACCGAGUCUUAACUGGGCGUUAAGUUGCAGGGUAUAGACCCGAAACCCGGUGAUCUAGCCAUGGGCAGGUUGAAGGUUGGGUAACACUAACUGGAGGACCGAACCGACUAAUGUUGAAAAAUUAGCGGAUGACCUGUGGCUGGGGGUGAAAGGCCAAUCAAACCGGGAGAUAGCUGGUUCUCCCCGAAAGCUAUUUAGGUAGCGCCUCGUGAACUCAUCUCCGGGGGUAGAGCACUGUUUCGGCUAGGGGGCCAUCCCGGCUUACCAACCCGAUGCAAACUGCGAAUACCGGAGAAUGUUAUCACGGGAGACACACGGCGGGUGCUAACGUCCGUCGUGAAGAGGGAAACAACCCAGACCGCCAGCUAAGGUCCCAAAGUCAUGGUUAAGUGGGAAACGAUGUGGGAAGGCCCAGACAGCCAGGAUGUUGGCUUAGAAGCAGCCAUCAUUUAAAGAAAGCGUAAUAGCUCACUGGUCGAGUCGGCCUGCGCGGAAGAUGUAACGGGGCUAAACCAUGCACCGAAGCUGCGGCAGCGACGCUUAUGCGUUGUUGGGUAGGGGAGCGUUCUGUAAGCCGUCGAAGGUGUGCUGUGAGGCAUGCUGGAGGUAUCAGAAGUGCGAAUGCUGACAUAAGUAACGAUAAACAAGGUGAAAAACCUUGUCGCCGGAAGACCAAGGGUUCCUGUUCAACGUUAAUCGGAGCAGGGUGAGUCGACCCCUAAGGCGAGGCCGAAAGGCGUAGUCGAUGGGAAACAGGUUAAUAUUCCUGUACUUGGUGUUACUGCGAAGGGGGGACGGAGAAGGCUAUAUCAGCCGGGCGACGGUUGUCCCGGUUUAAGCGUGUAGGUGUGUGUUCCAGGCAAAUCCGGUUCACUUUACACUGAGGCGUGACGACGAGGCACUACGGUGCUGAAGUGAUAAAUGCCCUGCUUCCAGGAAAAGCCUCUAAGCAUCAGGUAACACAAAAUCGUACCCCAAACCGACACAGGUGGUCAGGUAGAGAAUACCAAGGCGCUUGAGAGAACUCGGGUGAAGGAACUAGGCAAAAUGGUGCCGUAACUUCGGGAGAAGGCACGCUGGCGCGUAGGUGAAGGGACUUGCUCCCGGAGCCGAAGCCAGUCGAAGAUACCAGCUGGCUGCAACUGUUUAUUAAAAACACAGCACUGUGCAAACACGAAAGUGGACGUAUACGGUGUGACGCCUGCCCGGUGCCGGAAGGUUAAUUGAUGGGGUUAUCCGUAAGGAGAAGCUCUUGAUCGAAGCCCCGGUAAACGGCGGCCGUAACUAUAACGGUCCUAAGGUAGCGAAAUUCCUUGUCGGGUAAGUUCCGACCUGCACGAAUGGCGUAAUGAUGGCCAGGCUGUCUCCACCCGAGACUCAGUGAAAUUGAAAUCGCUGUGAAGAUGCAGUGUACCCGCGGCAAGACGGAAAGACCCCGUGAACCUUUACUACAGCUUGACACUGAACACUGAGCCUUGAUGUGUAGGAUAGGUGGGAGGCUUUGAAGCGUGGACGCCAGUCUGCGUGGAGCCGGCCUUGAAAUACCACCCUUUAAUGUUUGGUGUUCUAACGUAGGCCCGUGAUCCGGGCUGCGGACAGUGUCUGGUGGGUAGUUUGACUGGGGCGGUCUCCUCCCAAAGCGUAACGGAGGAGCACGAAGGUUGGCUAAUCCUGGUCGGACAUCAGGAGGUUAGUGCAAUGGCAUAAGCCAGCUUGACUGCGAGAGUGACGGCUCGAGCAGGUGCGAAAGCAGGUCAUAGUGAUCCGGUGGUUCUGAAUGGAAGGGCCAUCGCUCAACGGAUAAAAGGUACUCCGGGGAUAACAGGCUGAUACCGCCCAAGAGUUCAUAUCGACGGCGGUGUUUGGCACCUCGAUGUCGGCUCAUCACAUCCUGGGGCUGAAGUAGGUCCCAAGGGUACGGCUGUUCGCCGUUUAAAGUGGUACGCGAGCUGGGUUUAGAACGUCGUGAGACAGUUCGGUCCCUAUCUGCCGUGGGCGCUGGAGAAUUGAGGGGGGUUGCUCCUAGUACGAGAGGACCGGAGUGAACGCACCGCUGGUGUCCGGGUUGUCACGCCAGUGGCACUGCCCGGUAGCUAAGUGCGGAAAAGAUAAGUGCUGAAAGCAUCUAAGCACGAAACUUGCCCCGAGAUGAGUUCU
rnacentral:rRNA from 1 species